rnacentral:rRNA from 1 species
AAACUCAAAGGAAUUGACGGGGAGCACCACAACGGGUGGAGCUUGCGGUUUAAUUUGGAUUCAACGCCGGAAAUCUUACCGGGACCGACAGCAAUAUGAAGGCCAGGCUGAAGACUUUGCCGGAUUAGCUGAGAGGUGGUGCAUGGCCGUCGUCAGUUCGUACUGUGAAGCAUCCUGUUAAGUCAGGCAACGAGCGAGACCCACGCCCACAGUUGCCAGCGUACUCUCUGGAGUGACGGGUACACUGUGGGACCGCCGCUGCUAAAGCGGAGGAAGGAAUGGGCAACGGUAGGUCAGUAUGCCCCGAAUAUCCCGGGCUACACGCGAGCUACAAUGGUUGGUACAAUGGGUAUCUACCCCGAAAGGGGACGGGAAUCUCCUAAAACCAAUCUUAGUUCGGAUUGAGGGCUGCAACUCGCCCUCAUGAAGCUGGAAUCCGUAGUAAUCGCGUUUCAACAGAACGCGGUGAAUACGUCCCUGCUCCUU